rnacentral:rRNA from 1 species
AUGUACAAGAUGCCAUGCGCUCCAUUCAUAGGAAUAAAUAACCACAAUAAGUCAUUGCAGUUCGGAUGCGGGCUCGUUCGGAACGAAGACACGGAUGGGUACGUUUGGCUGUUCAAGACCUUCUUGGAGUGCAUGGAUGGACUUGCUCCGAUGAACAUAAUAGCAUACCAGGAUUUUAGCAUGCGUGCAGGCAUAGAGGAGGUCUUUCCGUUGGCAGUGCACAGGCACUGCAGGUGGCACAUUAUAAAGAAGGCUGAGGAGACGCUAGGACCAUUCUUUGAUGACCGUCCAGAGCUGCACAAGGCAUUCAAGUUGUGCGUGGACCACAUCUUGACGGUGGAGGAGUUUGAAAGGAGUUGGAUGGCCAUGAUUGAAAUAUAUCAAGUCCAAGACAACGAGACUCUUGCUAGCCCGUGGGAGAAGCGAAUGUACUGGGUGCCGGCCUACUUCAUGCAGUGCUUCUUCCCAUUUCUGUGGACUACGCAGCGCAGCGAGGGGUUCAAUGCUAUUUUGAAGCGGUACGUGAGCCCUGGCAACUCAUUGCUACAGUUUGCCAAGCAGUACAAAGCUUUGCAACAAAGAAUACUGGGAUCUGAGCUACAGCAAGAAGCGAACACCGCGCUAAAGCAGCCAAAAUUGCUAACGUAUUUACCGAUGGAGAGGCAAAUGAGCAAGAUAUACACCAAUAAGAUCUUUAACAACAUGUUCACGGCUUUCCAGGUGGACGAACAUACGUUUAAGGUGUGUUCUAUUUUGGGCAUGUCAGAUUUAGAACCUGAAGACACGGACAAAGGAAGGAACUACUUCAUGAAAGCCUUGAUAGGCCAAGGCGAAUACUACUGCCAAUGCUGCAAGUUUGAACGGGACGGCAUUGUAUGCGGUCACAUACUAAAAGUAAUGGACAUGAACACGGUGACACGGAAGCCCCGCCAUUUCAUAAGGCGGCGAUGGACUUGGGACGCUGACGACGCGUUGGCACCGCAGACAACAAGCGCAGUUUUGGCUGUGCAUGACGAGAGACCGGAGUCAACCAUGGAAGCCGUGAGGCACGUUGUGUUGACAAAGAACUAUGUUGAUCUAAUUGAUGAAGCGUGCAAGAGUGAUGAGACAUCACAGAAAAACACAGGAAGGCCCUGA